UGGCUCUCUCAUCGAUGAAGAACGCAGCGAAAUGCGAUAAGUAAUGUGAAUUGCAGAUCUCCGUGAACCAUCGAAUCUUUGAACGCACCUUGCGCUCCUUGGUAUUCCGAGGAGCAUGCCUGUUUGAGUGUCAUUAAAUUCUCAACCAAUUAUGCUUGCGCAUGAAUGGAUUGGAUGUGAGGGUGUUGCGGGCUUUUCACAAAGUCGGCUCCCUUUAAAUGCAUUAGCAGAUCAUUCUGUGGAUCGCUCUUGGUGUGAUAAUUAUCUACGCCUUGGGUGUGAAGCGAGCAGAGCUUCAUCGCUCUUUGGGAUCAGCUUCUAACUGUCUUGACUGACAACAUAUUUAUUGACUUGACCUCAAAUCAGGUAGGACUACCCGCUGA
rnacentral:misc_RNA from 1 species